AAAAGAGAUUUAUACCGAGGUUCUUGAGGUAGUGUGGAUUUAUUCGAUACAUUGCUGGAGAUUGGAGGUGGAAUAACACCCGAUUUAGUAACGUCUGAAUGCGUGCUGGUUACUGUAACAAAAAAAUAAUAUCUAUGCAGGAUAGCUACAAAUUGCUAUGUGCAAUAAAGGCUGUGAAUAAAGGUGAAGACAAGAAAAUUACCAAAAGCUGGAGGAGUGUGUAGAGAAGAAAUUGAAGAGAAAAGUAGUGGCAUUUAUGAGGUAGAUUAAGGAGUAGAAGAGAUUGGACACUUGUCCUUAGAUUUCGGUAUUUGGAGAGAUGACACAGCACCAGCUAGAGUAUCUUCGACCAUGGUAAGCCCCCACUCGACGCUCCACCGCCCCUGCGUCCUCUGAUAUAGAUUUGUUUUCAAGAAUUAUGUGCACCACAUGAGCAAAAUAAAUGUGUACAUAAAUCUAA